GCCCCAGUAGCUCAGCAGGAUAGAGCGGCGGUUUCCUAAACCGUAGGUCGGAUGUUCAAGUCAUCCCGGGGACGCCA
rnacentral:tRNA from 1 species